GUUCCUGGCAGCAGCCUUGCCUGUAUACUGACUGCACCUGCACUUUCAAAACUAUAGGAAAGGGAUGCAUUACAGGAGGAAUUGAAGAAGAAACAUCUCAACAUGGAAUUUGUUGACUCGAAAAUGGAAUUGACAUUCUCACUGAGAAGGAAGGAGAUAGUUGAAGAAGAACCUUUUGUAGCUGAUGUACUAAGACAAUGGCCAGCAUUGUUUUUGGAACAUCAGGUAUGUGCUGAGUUUUACAGAAUCACACAAACAAACCUGAAGAGUACAUUUUUCUCUUCUCUGGAUGAAUAUGCACUCUGGAUGACCAAGUUGUAUAGGCGGAGCAUAUGGAGAUAAUAUGAAGACCCUCCUAGACCAACUUGAUAAUCAGACCUCCGAUGUGCUUGCUCAUAGAAAGGCUACAGCUCUCAAAGGUCUACCUUUGUUUAUAAGGGAAAAGUCUGAACAUUUCCUGAAGACUUGCCUGGUAAGAUGAUUUAUCAGCACAUACAUUUAUACUUCAAAUCCAUCUCCAGAUCCUAUCAGGGGGUAACAGUUUUGUCUGGAAUCCAAAACUAAUCCAUUAACUCUACUAUCUGCCAUGACAUAGGAGACAAAGUGAUGGUAAAAGUAGUUUAUUAAUUUGAGUUUCUCAGUGUUUGGAUUUCUGAUUUCAUCUGAAAACACAAUUCAAAGUAUUAUUCUAAAACAAAGAUA